rnacentral:lncRNA from 1 species
AAAUUAUAAGGUUAAAAUAGAGCACACUAAAGAAAUGACAUGGGAAUAAUUUUUGAAAGUACAUGUUUCUAUUUUUUUACAUUUAGUAAAAAAAAAAGAAAGAAAUAUUAUUAAUUAGGCAUAGAAGUGACUGAAGGUGUUUAGUAAUCUGAGCUAUGAAAACUAUUGUGUCCUUGAAAGAGAAAAUGAAGUAAAAACUAAAAUUAGUUAAGUAUUUUGAUGGCAGCUGUAAAUAAUAGUAAUUCUUUGAUGAUAAUGGCUAUCUUAACCUUUAUAAUAGGGUUAAUUGGUAUUAAUGAACCUG